AUGUCUGUUCCUGAUCGCUUUUAUCCUAAAGGCAUGGGGAAAGUGGAUUACAGGGCAAAAACUUUGUCCUGGCAAGAGAAACAUCGCCACCCACCCACUGUGGCACACAAAGUUUGGGUCUCAUGGCCCCUGAGUCCACCCUUCAGAGCAGAAGAGCAGAAAAGGAAGAUGCAUGGGGCCACUCUUCCUUGCUUCCAUCCUGCUGGGGGCCCCUCCCUUCCAGGAGCAUCUCCAGGCUGCGGGUUGUUUUCCUUUGAAAAGGUUCCGUUCUUGCCAUGGAGACCGAGGGUUCUGAGAAGCCUCAAGUCAGUUGGCGCUGGCAUUGCCUUCCUGAGCACCAAGAUGGGCAGAGAGCACUCCAGACAGCUCCCACUGAGGCCAGCCGGGAGCGAUGCCUCUGCGCCAGAAGUCCCUCCGCGUGCCCCCCGAUGGACGGCCCUGGACUCGUGGUUCAGGAAGGUCAGGACGAGGCGCUCGCUUCGCCGCGUGAGCCCCGAAAACGUAGCUGUUCCUGUGGAUCCUCCAAGGUAAGCCCUGGCCCCCCGUUCCCUUCGGGGUCCCCCCACCCUAAGGGAA
rnacentral:lncRNA from 11 species